GUCGCUACGGGGGGCAGCAGUAGGGAAUCUUCCACAAUGGACGAAAGUCUGAUGGAGCAACGCCGCGUGAGUGAAGAAGGGUUUCGGCUCGUAAAGAUCUGUUGGUAGUGAAGAAAGAUAGAGGUAGGAACUUGCCUUUAUUUGACGGGAAUUACUUAGAAAGGCACGGCUAACUACGUGCCAGCAGCCGCGGUAAUACGUAGGGGGCAAGCGUUGUCCGGAUUUAUUGGGC
rnacentral:rRNA from 1 species